GACGAACGCUGGCGGCGUGCUUAACACAUGCAAGUCGAACGGUAAGGCCUCUUCGGGGGUACGCGAGUGGCGAACGGGUGAGUAACACGUGAGUAACCUGCCCUUGACUUUGGGAUAACAUCUGGAAACAGGUGCUAGUACCGGAUAUGAGCUUGUCCUGCAUGGGAUGGGUUGGAAAGCUCCGGCGGUCAUGGAUGGACUCGCGGCCUAUCAGCUUGUUGGUGAGGUAAUGGCUCACCAAGGCUUCGACGGGUAGCCGGCCUGAGAGGGCGACCGGCCACAUUGGGACUGAGAUACGGCCCAAACUCCUACGGGAGGCAGCAGUGGGGAAUAUUGCACAAUGGGCGGAAGCCUGAUGCAGCAACGCCGCGUGCGGGAUGACGGCCUUCGGGUUGUAAACCGCUUUCAGCAGGGACGAAGCGUGAGUGACGGUACCUGCAGAAGAAGCACCGGCUAACUACGUGCCAGCCGCCGCAGUAAAAC
rnacentral:rRNA from 1 species